rnacentral:rRNA from 1 species
AUGAACGCUAGCGGCAGGCUUAACACAUGCAAGUCGAGGGGCAGCGUGAUGAAGUAGCAAUACGGAUUUGACGGCGACCGGCGCACGGGUGCGUAACGCGUAUGCAACCUACCCAUAACAGGGGGAUAACACUGAGAAAUUGGUACUAAUACCCCAUAACACUUUAGAAGGCAUCUUCUGGAGUUGAAAGUUCAGGCGGUUAUGGAUGGGCAUGCGUUGUAUUAGCUAGAUGGUGAGGUAACGGCUCACCAUGGCUACGAUACAUAGGGGGACUGAGAGGUUAACCCCCCACACUGGUACUGAGACACGGACCAGACUCCUACGGGAGGCAGCAGUGAGGAAUAUUGGUCAAUGGGCGAGAGCCUGAACCAGCCAAGUAGCGUGAAGGAUGACUGCCCUACGGGUUGUAAACUUCUUUUGUUUGGGAAUAAAGUUCAGCACGUGUGCUGUUUUGUAUGUACCAUCCGAAUAAGCAUCGGCUAAUUCCGUG